UACGUAGGGGGCAAGCGUUAUCCGGAUUUACUGGGUGUAAAGGGAGCGUAGACGGCAGGGCAAGUCUGGAGUGAAAGGCAGGGGCCCAACCCCUGGACUGCUCUGGAAACUGUCCGGCUGGAGUGCAGGAGAGGUAAAUGGAAUUCCUAGUGUAGCGGUGAAAUGCGUAGAUAUUAGGAGGAACACCAGUGGCGAAGGCGGCUUACUGGACUGUAACUGACGUUGAGGCUCGAAAGCGUGGGGAGCAAACAGG
rnacentral:rRNA from 1 species